GUUGAAACACCGGUUCCCGUACGACCAUCGAAGUUAAGCAACGUCAGUUCUGGUCAGUACCUAGAUGGGUAACUGUUUGAGAAUACCCGAUGCUGUAAG